rnacentral:lncRNA from 1 species
AUGGUUGAAGUACAUUGCAAUUGGCCAUUUGUUGUAUAUAAGUAUAGAUGGAGUUUUGUUUUCAAACUUUGGGUUUUUGGUGAAUUCGUGUUUGCUACAUGUGAAGGGAGAUGAUGUUAUGGUCAUUGUAACCUUCUCUUUUUUCGGACAUAUUAUUACACUAGAAAUCACACCAAUACAAAGAACUAGAUAUUGCAAUCUCACAUCAACCAUAAGCUCCAUUCACAAUAUCAUGUCAGAUCAUGAACCAAAGAGACUCUUUCAGCCUCCUAUGCUCUCAAUUCCCUUUUUACAUUUAUUGAAAACUCUAACCAUAAACAGUCUGCGUAGAAUAUAAGCUUCUCCAUGCUUAUGUUCAGGUGCCAAGUCAGCACUAUCUCAGUACUUAUCAAUAUCCCUUUCAUAAAACACUUUCAUCUAACAGACCUUGAUUUAGUUUUGAUUUUUUUUUGGGUCAAAGCUUUAGUUUUGAUUUCAAGUACCAAAUUAGAUAGAAAUAUUAAGGACAGAACUUAGGUUCAACCCCUAGAGUGAACUUUUAAAUUCACCCCACCCUUUAGCACCAAUCAAAUUGACACAUAGAUUAUUAAUUAAAAAAUAUUAAAUUAAAUAAAAAAUAGCUACAAAAAAUAAAAAUGUUAAUUUUAACGACGCUAACGCUUCCAGCUAAACCCUAAACCCUAAAUUUUAAAUUCUAAACCCUAUACCCUAAAUUUUAAACCCAAAUCCAAACCCCUAAACCCAAACCCUAUACCCUAAAC